rnacentral:rRNA from 1 species
UAAGACGAAGGGGGCUAGCGUUGUUCGGAAUUACUGGGCGUAAAGCGAGUGUAGGUGGUUGUCCAAGUUGGAUGUGAAAGCCUUGAGCUCAACUCAAGAAAUGCAUUCAGGACUGGGCGGCUAGAGGACCGGAGAGGAUAGUGGAAUUCCCAGUGUAGUGGUGAAAUACGUAGAGAUUGGGAAGAACACCAGUGGCGAAGGCGGCUAUCUGGACGGUUUCUGACACUAAGACUCGAAAGCGUGGGGAGCAAACAGGAUUAGAUACCCUGGUAGUCCACGCUGUAAACGAUGGGCACUAGGUGUCCGGGGUAUUGACCCCCUGGGUGCCGCAGCUAACGCAUUAAGUGCCCCGCCUGGGGAGUACGGUCGCAAGAUUA